GGGGUGCUAACUCAGUGGUAGAGUGCAUGUUUAGCAUGCAUGAGGUCUUGGGUUCAACCCCCAGUACCUCC
rnacentral:tRNA from 1 species